CCUCGCGGCCGCAGGGGGAAGGCCGGGCGCGCAGAGCGCCGGGUGGGGCUGCGGGGGAGCCUGCCGCGGGGCUCCCUUCUGAGGCCACCCAUCCCCGAGGCGUCCCCGCUCACCCGGCCUCUGCUCUGCUGCGGGCCUCAGGAUCAAGGCCGUAAGUCCAGCGCUGCAUUCAGGACCCUCCGCUGUGGCUCGCCGCCCACCCCCUGGAGGUGGGACCCCCUACAAGCAUCAGACGGCACCCUCCACGCCAUGGCUCCUGCUGGACUCUGCAGCUGAACUGGCCCCUCCCCACUACCGACUCUCUCACCUGGAAAACCCCUGACAGCCUAAAAUCCGGUGCACCUCUUCUACAGGCCGCUCCUCUGGACUCUCCUCCUGUGAUGGCCUCUGAUCUGUGGUGGCAGUGGAACCCAAGCCCCACUCCGAGCGCAGGUUGCUGAAGGGAAGGAGCCAGGUGUGGACCUUGCCUUCCCGCCGGAGCUGAUGCCAGGAAGGCCUCCCCGACAAUGGAGUGGUGGUGAAAGAUACCAGUGGGAUGACCGAAUUGUGAAACUCCUGCUCGCGGCAAGGAUGAUCGCCUGAGGUUAAUACCUGCACAAGAUCCAAGGGCAUGGUCUGUGCAACCCCGUGGAAGCAGCCACACAGAGCCAGGAGGUGCAUUCACUGCAGGCUGACCUGCCUGACAAGGUGACAACGAUGACAAAUGAUGGAGCAGAGGAGGGGCGGUGACGACACAGGAUCGAGAUGCUUGUAGCAGUGAAGUUCCUGAAAGGGGCAGGGGUCAGCCCUCAUGGGCACAGGGACAGUCAAGGGUCUUCCUUGCUAUACACCGGCUCAUAGCAGGGGACCAGGGCUACUCCCCAGCUGUGGUGGACGGACUUCCUCUCACUGCAGGGGCUUUGCGUCGUGGAGCGCGGGCCCGAGGGGCACAGGCUUCAGUAGCUGUGGCUCGCAGGCUCCAGGGCGUGGGCUCAGCAGCUGUGGUGCACGGGCUCAGCUGCCCCGCGGCACGUGGGAUCUUCCUGGAUCAGGGGUCGAAACCAUGUCCCCUUUACUGGCAGAAUUCUUAACCACUGGACCACCAGGGAAAUCCCAGGGAAGAACUUUAUAACAG
ensembl:lncRNA